rnacentral:rRNA from 1 species
GACGAACGCUGGCGGCGUGCUUAACACAUGCAAGUCGAACGGAAAGGCCCCCUUGUGGGGUACUCGAGUGGCGAACGGGUGAGUAACACGUGAGUAACCUACCCUUGACUUUGGGAUAACUUCAGGAAACUGGGGCUAAUACCGGAUAGGAGCUCCUGCUGCAUGGUGGGGGUUGGAAAGUUUCGGCGGUUGGGGAUGGACUCGCGGCUUAUCAGCUUGUUGGUGGGGUAGUGGCUCACCAAGGCUUUGACGGGUAGCCGGCCUGAGAGGGUGACCGGCCACAUGGGGAAGGAGGUAGGGCCCAGCCGCUAAGGGGGGGCAGCGGGGGGAAAUAUUGCACAAGGGGGGAGAGCCUAAGACGGAAGCCCCGGGGGGGGAAUGCCGGCCUUGGGGUUAAAAAACGCUUUCGCCUGUGACAAAGCGGGAGUGACGGUAAUGGAAAAAGAAGCACCGGCUAACUACGUG